CCCUCCCACCAUCAGCACCAGUGAUGUUUCUUGUGACUGUGGUCUGAUCUGGGUCCUGGUGGUGUCCUCCAGAACUCUGUUUCUGGUCCUCAUCCCUGCUGCCUUCCUUAUUGGGAAUACUUAUGGAGUUAAUAAGGAGAAGAGGAAACUCCGGGAG
rnacentral:lncRNA from 1 species